rnacentral:misc_RNA from 1 species
GUCCGGAGUAAUGGCAGUAAUCCUGCAUAAAAAAUGCAACUAAAAUCCCUGUUUGACGUUUUAACAGCAAUUUUUUUCUUACAAAAGAAUUGAAGCAAAAACAAAAGAAUGAAAAAACCAAAAAGAAAAAGAAAACCCUUACACAUAAUCAAGAGCAUUGAUAUUAUGUAAUCUUUCUCUGAAUCCCAACUGCAGUCAUUCUUCUGUCCACUUUUAACUCUAAUCUCUUAUCACAUCUGGGCAGAAUCGUGUAUUUGGGGUUCUGGAGGGCGGAGGCCAAUGACGAAAAGGAAGCAUAUUCUCAACCAACUAAUGAUCCCACCAUAUAAGUUUGUGUUCAGUGAUGCAUAUUCAUAUUCGGUGUGCAUCUGUGUUGCCUACACUCAACUAUAUAACCCCUACAAUCCAUCAUAUAUCCUUUCACUGAACCUGCUCACCUAUCAAAUCAAGACCAACCAGCAGGAACGAUAUUCCUUGAAACAGCAAGAAGUAGAAAUGGAUCCCCUGAGCAGACAGAAGACUCCUUGCUGAAGCUGUUAAAAGCAGAAAAGCCAGCGCCAGCUCCUUCGUAUAUAUCCUAUUAUGCUUUCUUUUUGGAGCCUUUUUCUCCUGCAGAAGUUCUUCUUUCAUUUCUACAAGAUUUGGAACUGAGGCAACUCUUUGAUGAUUUGGUUCUUUUUGAGCCAGGGAGACGAGAUCACCCUCAGAAGAGCGACCAGACUUCUUAGUAACAACCCAUUCGUAGGCGCUUCCUAGCUGGAAUAGACCAGAGAUCAUGGCAUUGAACUUGNNGUUCUCAAAUAGAAGGUAAGGGACAAUGAAUGGGAAGGAUUUUGGUGCUGGGAGGAUAUUGAGAAAUGACAUGGUGGCUGGAAUAUAACAGACAAUCCAUGCUGGUAGCUCAGCCUCUGGUAUGAACAUUGUCAUGGGCAAAAUUAUGCAGAAUAGGGUGAAAGAAUAAAAGGGUAGGAUAAGCUUUCUGAGAAGAAAGAAGAGAAAGAUCAUAUUGAACUUCUUCCAUAUGCUAAUAUUUGAUCGAAUGAUAGCAGGCAAACAGAGCCUAAACAACUGCAUUGGUCCAGAAUGCCAUCUGUGCUGCUGCUUUCUAUACGCCUCAUAUGAUUCUGGCAACUCACACUGGCACUCAACGUCAUUUAGGAAAAUGAAUUUCCAACCAUGAAGAUGAGCACGGACAGCAAUAUCCAUGUCCUCAACAGUAGUUCUCUCUAGCCACCCACCAGCAUCCUCCAGAGCCUUUAUCCUCCACACUCCAGCAGUCCCAUUGAACCCAAAGAAGUUGAUGAAAACACCAUUCACCUGCUGUUCUACUUCAAAAUGAAAUGCUAAGUUAAUAUUCUGCAACCUUGUUAACAAGUUCUCAUCCUUGUUCACAAAGGACCAUCUUGCUUGAACAAGCCCAAGCUUUUCGUUAUCCUUAAAGUGAGGUACUGUUC